CGGCGCACGGGUGAGUAACACGUAUCCAACCUGCCUCAUACUCGGGGAUAGCCUUUCGAAAGAAAGAUUAAUAUCCGAUAGCAUAUAUUUCCCGCAUGGGUUUUAUAUUAAAGAAAUUCGGUAUGAGAUGGGGAUGCGUUCCAUUAGUUUGUUGGCGGGGUAACGGCCCACCAAGACUACGAUGGAUAGGGGUUCUGAGAGGAAGGUCCCCCACAUUGGAACUGAGACACGGUCCAAACUCCUACGGGAGGCAGCAGUGAGGAAUAUUGGUCAAUGGACGCGAGUCUGAACCAGCCAAGUAGCGUGAAGGAUGACUGCCCUAUGGGUUGUAAACUUCUUUUAUAUGGGAAUAAAGUGGUCCACGUGUGGAUUUUUGUAUGUACCAUAUGAAUAAGGAUCGGCUAACUCCGUGCCAGCAGCCGCGGUAAUACGGAGGAUCCGAGCGUUAUCCGGAUUUAUUGGGUUUAAAGGGAGCGUAGGCGGAUUGUUAAGUCAGUUGUGAAAGUUUGCGGCUCAACCGUAAAAUUGCAGUUGAUACUGGCAGUCUUGAGUGCAGUAGAGGUGGGCGGAAUUCGUGGUG
rnacentral:rRNA from 1 species